UACAGAGGUCUCAAGCGUUGUUCGGAUUCAUUGGGCGUAAAGGGUGCGUAGGUGGCGGGGCAAGUCAGGUGUGAAAUCUCGGGGCUCAACCCCGAAACUGCACUUGAUACUGCCUGGCUGGAGUACUGGAGAGGAGAUUGGAAUUUACGGUGUAGCAGUGAAAUGCGUAGAUAUCGUAAGGAAGACCAGUGGCGAAGGCGAAUCUCUGGACAGUUACUGACACUGAGACACGAAGGCCAGGGGAGCAAACGGG
rnacentral:rRNA from 1 species